UCCGUUCCUUUGUCAUUCUAGAAAGAACUAGCCUGUGAGACGCUUCGUUUUAUGAAAAGCUUAUAAGUUCCGCCAUUUUGUUUUGUAACUGUGAUAGUUAUUUUUGAUCAUUACUAUUUUGUUUCUUUCGACCACCAUAGAACAUUAAAACACCAAAAUGAGUUACGGUAGACCACCGCCACGUAUAGAUGGCAUGGUAUCAUUAAAAGUAGAUAAUCUUACCUAUAGAACAACCCCAGAAGAUUUGCGUCGCGUUUUCGAAAGGUGUGGUGAUGUCGGCGACAUAUAUAUACCACGAGACCGAUAUACGCGAGACAGCAGAGGAUUUGCUUUUGUCAGGUUUUACGAUAGAAGAGAUGCUGAAGAAGCAUUAGAUUCUCUGGAUGGGCGCAUGUUGGAUGGAAGGGAGCUUCGCGUUCAGAUGGCGCGUUAUGGCCGUCCAUCCUCACCCUACAGAAGCCGAUACGACCGUCGGAGAAGCUACUCGCGUUCACGGUCUCGUUCACGUCGUCGAUCCAGGUCCCGCUCCAGGAAGCGCUCAUACUCUCGCAGCCGCUCCCGUUCACGUUCGAAGUCCAGGUCACGCUCGGACUCCAAGAGCUCCCGCGGCAGGUCUCGUAGCCGUAGCCGCAGCCGCUCCCGUUCCAGACAUUGAAGUGCUGUGUUGAGAGUACCAUAGUGAGCUGAAAGGUUGUGCUCCCUGCCUCUGAGCUGGCAGCCUUCAGCCCAGGGCAUGGAGUAUGCGGGGAGCGAGGCUGUUUGCGGGGAGGGGGGUUUUGCGGUUUGCUGACAACUGCUGAAUUGCUGUUGUUGCCGAGCAUAAGUUAUGAGUAAUCUUUUAUAUUUAUUGCAAAAAUCAAGUCACACAUAAUUAGGACCAGACAGAUGUGUACAUGAAGUUCUACAUCUGAGUUAGAAUCACUAUAAUUAUGUGAAUGUCAACUAUCCCACUUUUAGAAUGUAACUAGAAAUUAGUUGUAAUUAUUAGAUGCGUGUUGUUUAAUUAAAGAGCAUUAUCAUAGAUAUUGUAAUUUCACGAUAAGAUUUAGAAAUCAAAAACAAUAUUUGCAUAGUGGGUAAUGUGUGGAUUUGUUUGGCAGGCCGGUGCUGCUCGCUGGCCUGUUUGCUGUGGCAGUUUCCUGUGCUGAUUGCUGUGAUUUGCAGAUACGUGCGUCUAGGUUACUCUAACAAUGCAGGAUUUCUCUCCCUCCCUGCCUAUAAAUUUCUAGAAGUACAUAUAUUUUAAUAUCUGAUUUUACCUCCUUUUAGGGAAAAGGUUUAUUUGCACGACAAAAAUGACACAAAUUUGUGUUUUUCAUUUUAAGAUAUGUAUUUAAUAAUAAUAAAAAAACCUUUUCUUUAAAAAAUUAACUACUCAACAAGAGAGAAGAAGUCGGAGCGAUGUGGAUGGAACACCAGGUUCGGAUGACAACACUCGUUUCAAAAUCUUUAAAUUAAAUAAACAAUAGAUGAUAUA